rnacentral:rRNA from 1 species
UUGACCUAGAGUGGCGUACGGGUGCGUAACACGUAUGCAACCUACCCUUUACAGGAGGAUAGCUCGGGGAAACUCGGAUUAAUACUCCAUAAGAUCGUAUUGUGGCAUCACAGCGCGAUAAAAACUUCAGGUGGUAAAGGAUGGGCAUGCGUCUGAUUAGUUAGUUGGCGGGGUAACGGCCCACCAAGGCGAUGAUCAGUAGGGGAACUGAGAGGUUGAUCCCCCACACUGGCACUGAGAUACGGGCCAGACUCCUACGGGAGGCAGCAGUAGGGAAUAUUGGUCAAUGGAUGGAAGUCUGAACCAGCCAUGCCGCGUGCAGGAAGACGGCCCUCUGGGUUGUAAACUGCUUUUUACUGGGGAUAAAAGGCCCUUGCGAGGGAGCUUGAAGGUACCAGUAGAAUACGCCACGGCUAACUACGUGCCAGCAGCCGCGGUAAUACGUAGGUGGCAAGCGUUGUCCGGAUUCAUUGGGUUUAAAGGGUGCGUAGGCGGCUAAUUAAGUCUGUGCUGAAAUAUCACAGCUUAACUGUGAGGGUGGCAUUGAUACUGGCUAGCUUGAGUACAGACGAGGUAGGCGGAAUUGACGGUGUAGCGGUGAAAUGCAUAGAUAUCGUCAAGAACACCGAUAGUGUAGACAGCUUACUAGACUGUAACUGACGCUGAGGCACGAAAGUGUGGGGAUCAAACAGGAUUAGAUACCCUGGUAGUCCACACUGUAAACGAUGAUUACUCGCUGUUGGCGAUACAC